AGUGAACGCUGGCGGUAGGCCUAACACAUGCAAGUCGAACGGCAGCACAGUAAGAGCUUGCUCUUACGGGUGGCGAGUGGCGGACGGGUGAGGAAUACAUCGGAAUCUACUUUUUCGUGGGGGAUAACGUAGGGAAACUUACGCUAAUACCGCAUACGACCUACGGGUGAAAGCAGGGGAUCUUCGGACCUUGCGCGAUUGAAUGAGCCGAUGUCGGAUUAGCUAGUUGGCGGGGUAAAGGCCCACCAAGGCGACGAUCCGUAGCUGGUCUGAGAGGAUGAUCCGCCACACUGGAACUGAGACACGGUCCAGACUCCUACGGGAGGCAGCAGUGGGGAAUAUUGGACAAUGGGCGCAAGCCUGAUCCAGCCAUACCGCGUGGGUGAAGAAGGCCUUCGGGUUGUAAAGCCCUUUUGUUGGGAAAGAAAAGCAGCAGGUUAAUACCCCGCUGUUCUGACGGGACCCAAAGAAUAAGCACCGGCGAACUUCGU
rnacentral:rRNA from 1 species